CUGAGGUUCAUGUGGAAGGAGAGCCACUUGUCCUUGCGUUUGAAACCCCUCAGGAGGGAUUAAUGGUAUCUGUUUGAUGUCUGUGCAAAUAAAGGCACACUUCAUGCUGCUGGUGCAAUCCCAGGAAAUGAGAGAAAAGCAUCAGAUUUCCAAGCAGCAUGUGCCACAAGUUGCUCUGCAAGGCCGUGGGUGAAUGAAGAUCUGAGCAGAAGUGGUUGGAUGCUAAAGGGCAGAGGGAGGCUCUGUAGUAUACAACAGGAGACUACAGAAACGAAGGAGAACUCCUCAGAGCAUGGCAAUCACAGUGAAGGCAAGGAAAACAACAAUAGGCAAGGACAGAGGAAGCAAAGGAAUAAAGUUGAACCUUGGCAAUACAUGCAGAUUCCAUCACAGCAAAAAAUAUAAUCCAUCUAAUAGCAUAUACUAGGCUGUGUAUAUAUAAUAUAGGCAUACAGCAGUAUACAAUGUUUACUGACAAUACUGGGGUAGACUUCAACUAGAAAUGCAAUUGAUGAGGUAGUUUUUAAGGUGAUGAUGCUGACAGUGCUGAAGGAGAAGCUCCUCAGCUGUUCCCUGGUGUUCCUGUGCUUUCCCCUGAGAGGACUGAUGGCUGAAGGAAUAAGUGAGGACCUCAUCCUACUCACUGCAUGUGUCACAAUAUUCCAGUGGAAUUUCACCCAUAAGAGCACAUAAUCCAGGGGCUGCAGUUUGGACUGGACAAUAGCCUUUUGUUCCCAGUUCUGUGGCAGAGCAGAGCCACCCCUGCCCCUGGCACUGUGGCAUGGGCUUGCCUGCUCAGUGCAAGGCCCUACCUGUCAGCCACAUAAACAAGAGAUGCUGCAGGCACAAGGACAUCUGUG
ensembl:lncRNA